rnacentral:rRNA from 1 species
AGCGAACGCUGGCGGCAUGCCUAACACAUGCAAUUCGCCCGGGGGGGCUUCGGCCUCCCUGUGGCGGACGGUUGAGUAACGCGUAGGGACCUGUCGAGGGGUGGGGGAUAACCGCGGGAAACUGCGGCUAAUACCGCAUGCCGCCGCGUCGUGACAGCCGGGGCCACAGGCGCAAGCCGCCCGCGGAGGGGCCGGCGUCCGGUUAGCUGGUUGGCGGGGUAGCGGCCCACCAAGGCGUCGAUCGGUAGCUGGUCUGCGAGGGUGGUCAGCCACACCGGGACUGAGACACGGCCCGGACUCCUACGAGAGGCAGCAGUGGGGGAUAUUGGAAAAUGGGCGCAAGCAUGAUCCAGCGAUGCCGCGUGGGUGAAGAAGGUGUUCGGAUUGUAAAGCCGUUUCGGCGAGGACGAUGGUGACGGUACCCGCAGAAGAAGCCCCGGCUAACUUAGUG